GACGAACCGUGCGAACGUUGUUCGGAUUCACUGGGCUUAAAGGGCGCGUAGGCGGGUGUUCAAGUCCGGGGGGAAAUCCUCCAGCUUAACUGGAGAACUGCCCCGGAUACUGAUCGCCUCGAGGGAGAUAGGGGCAUGUGGAACUUCGGGUGGAGCGGUGAAAUGCGUAGAUAUCCGAAGGAACGCCGGUGGCGAAAGCGACGUGCUGGAUCUCUUCUGACGCUGAGGCGCGAAAGCUAGGGGAGCAAACGGG
rnacentral:rRNA from 1 species